UAUUAUUUGCAACACUGGUUUGCAAAUUAUCAGCUGUUGUCAAAAAUAAAAGCAAACAAAGAAAAGAAAUGGAGCAAACAGGUUUAAACAGAAAAAGAAUUAAACGUGAAAAAACAAACAAAAAGUGGAGCGAAAAAGAAAGAAAUCCAGAGUACACUGGACUUCUUGCAGGAAGCUCCAGAAGUAGAGGCACCAACAGCUCAAAUUUUUUAUAAAAAGCUCAUUGAGAGCACAAAAAUAGACGCAACGUGGGAUUUAUUACGGCGGAAAGUGCGGCACCUGAAGGCUUCAUACAAAAAAGCAAGCGAUUGGCGAAUGUCAACAGGAGCAGGCCUUCUUGAGUCUGAUGCCGGGGCGUCGAGUGUUGAAGGCAAAGUGUUGCAGAUGUGCCCGCACUUUAAUCAGCUUAAAUAUAUUUUUGGGAAAAAAGCCACAAGUGAAUUACCAUUUGAAGUGGUUGAUAGUGGCAGUACGUCUAUAAUGAAUGAAAGCGCGGCCAGCCAAAUACUGGAAAUCACUUUUUCUGAUGUCGGCGAAGAAAUUGCGUCUCCAAUUGACAUUGCCAAUAUUGAAAAUCUACCACCAGGCAAUGUAAGUGAAGUGAUUGUUCCUGAAAAAGCAAAAGAUUUUGCGGAAAAAAUUUAAAAACAUGUCCCAAAAUCAUCUGCUGCAAAUCUUGUUGCUUUUCAAGUCGAGCGUAGGCAAAUGUUCAAAAUGAAAAUGGAAUGGGAAAAAGAGAAACAUGAAAAAGAUCACGCUUUGAAUGAAAAAAGGUUGCAAGCAGAAAUUGAAAGAGGUAAAGAUGAAGUAAUAUACAAGAACCGUGAAUUGGACUUAAAAAUCUUAGAAUUAGAAAAGGAUGAACGAUUAAAAAAACUUCAAAUUGAAAAGGAGGAACGCUUGCAAAAGUUCGAAAUUGAAAUGAAAUAUAAGUAUUCCUCUCACCAGUAAUUUUUCUGUACUUUAUUUAUCUCUUUUUAUUUAUCUUAAUUUAUUUAUGUCUAUACUUUAUUUAUCUUUGUAUUUUAAAAUAUGUAGUACCAAUUACUGUUGAGAUGAAUACUUAUUUAAUACGGUUUUUGAUGUUUUACUAUCUUCUAUCAUUCAAAGCGUUAUCUUUUUCACGUUUGUCUUUUUCUAAAUACUUAAUUUAAAAUAAUCAUUUAUUUUGUAAACAAUAGUUGAAUGUAUAAUGCCCGGUUUCACAGUCCAUACUUAAGUUGUGCCUAAAUAAAAUCUUAGCUAAGUAUUGUUGCAAACUGAGUGGUCGUUUGCGUUUCACAGUCAAUGCUCAAUUUCUAUAAAAUUUUAUUAUGAUAUAUGGCAACGUUAUGGGCAACAUAUGUUUUACAAAUGUCAUUCAUAAAAAUAUGUUUGAAAUAUUUAAAUUAUAACAGACAAUACAUAAAUUUGCGAGGAAAAUUAUAUCAAAAAUUGAUGAAAACAACAAAAGAACCCCAAAUUUCAUCACUAGCGAGUCGGAGCACCUAUGGGAACUGAAGGAAAAGUAUAAGCUGUUAUUGAGUGCAAACGAACGGACACUUGCCCUACGCUACGAAAGAUGUCGCUGAAAAUUCAAAGCAAAUUCAAAACAAAAAUCAGCUGUUAUUUAAGCACUGCUUAAGUCUCCCCUUUUCAGUAC